rnacentral:rRNA from 1 species
GAUGAACGCUGGCGGCAUGCCUAAGACAUGCAAGUCGAACGAAACGGCCCAUUGAUUUUUGAGUACUUGUACGAAAUUUGAUUUGGAUUUUCCGUUUAGUGGCAGACGGGUGAGUAACACGUAAGUAAUCUACCUCAAAGUUUGGGAUAACGUUUGGAAACGGACGCUAAUACCGCAUAAUGUAUCCGGAGGGCAUCCUCUGGAUACCAAAGCUUAAUGUGCUGAGAGAUGGUCUCGCGUCUGAUUAGCUAGAUGGCGGGUAACGGCCCACCAUGGCGACGAUCAGUAGCCGGUCUGAGAGGAUGAACGGCCACAUUGGGACUGAGAUACGGCCCAGACUCCUACGGGAGGCAGCAGUGGGGAAUAUUGGGGCAAUGGGGGGAAACCCUGACCCAGGCAACGCCGCGUGAAGGAAGAAAGGGCUUUCGGGUUGGUAAACUUCGUUUUACCAGGGUACGAAGGGACGUGACGGUACCUGGAGAAAAGCAACGGCUAACUACGUG